AUUGAACGCUGGCGGCAGGCCUAACACAUGCAAGUCGAACGAGUGGCGGACGGGUGAGUAAUGGCUGGGAAACUGCCUGAUGGAGGGGGAUAACUACGGGAAACGGUAGCUAAUACCGCAUACCAUCAGAUGUGCCCAGACGGGAUUAGAUGGUUGGUGGGGUAAAGGCUCACCAAGGCGAAGAGGCCUAGCUGGUCUGAGAGGAUGACAAGCCGCCCUGGAACUGAGACACGGUCCAGACUCCUACGGGAGGCAGCAGUGGGGAAUCUUGCACAAUGGGCGAAAGCCUGAUGCAGCCAUGCCGCGUGUAUGAAGAAGGCCUUCGGGUUGUAAAGUACUUUCAGCGGGGAGGCGUUACCCGCAGAAGAAGCACCGGCUAACUCCGUGCCAGCCGCCGCGGUAAUAC
rnacentral:rRNA from 1 species